rnacentral:rRNA from 1 species
AUUGAACGCUGGCGGCAGGCUUAACACAUGCAAGUCGAGCGAGAGGCGGACGGGUGAGUAUUGUCCGUGAACCUGCCUGACGUUGGGGGAUAACUACUGGAAACGGUAGCUAAUACUGCCUACCCUCAGAUGUGUCGGGAUGGGUUUAGCUAGUUGGUGGGGUAAUGGCUCACCUAGGCGACGAUCCCUUGCUGGUGUGAGAGGAUGACCAGCCACACUGGAACUGAGACACGGUCCAGACUCCAACGGGAGGCAGCAGUGGGGAAUAUUGCACAAUGGGCGCAAGCCUGAUGCAGCCAUGCCGCGUGUGUGAAGGAGGCCUUCGGGUUUGAAAGCACUUUCAGCGAGGAGGCGUUACUCGCAGAAGAAGCACCGGCUAACUCCGUGCCAGCAGCCGCGGUAAUAC